rnacentral:rRNA from 1 species
GACGAACGCUGGCGGCGUGCUUAACACAUGCAAGUCGAACGGGAUCCGGGCUUUCGGGUUUGGUGAGAGUGGCGAACGGGUGAGUAACACGUGAGUAACCUGCCCCCUUCUUUGGGAUAACGUCGGGAAAUCGGCGCUAAUACUGGAUAUUCUUGCUGCAUCGCAUGGUGUGGUUUGGAAAGGGUUUCUGGUGGGGGAUGGGCUCGCGGCCUAUCAGCUUGUUGGUGGGGUGAUGGCCUACCAAGGCUUUGACGGGUAGCCGGCCUGAGAGGGUGUCCGGGCACACUGAGACUGAGACACGGCCCAGACUCCUACGGGAGGCAGCAGUUGGGAAUAUUGCACAAUGGGCGCAAGCCUGAUGCAGCGACGCCGCGUGAGGGAUGACGGCCUUCGGGUUGUAAACCUCUUUCAGUAUGGAACAAGGAUCCUUCUUUUGGGGGGUUUGAGGGUACGUGCAGAAGAAGCGCCGGCUAACUACGUG